AGAAAGCCCUAUAAAUUACUUAAUAACUCUACAUUCUAUCAUUUAAAAUCUUUGAUUGCCCUGCCUAUCCAGAUGAUUCACCCUGCCAAACCAGAUAAUUCAUAUUUUGGGGGGUGUUACACCCCCCAUACCCCCCCUCAAGUUUCGCCCCUGGUUAUACCAUAAAUAGUUCUCUCAGUUUUUGACAUUUGUAAACAGGAAGUAGAAUGGUUUUGUGCACAUGGGGGUGUGUUGAAGGUGUG